rnacentral:rRNA from 1 species
UACGAAGGGGGCUAGCGUUGCUCGGAAUUACUGGGCGUAAAGCGCACGUAGGCCGAUUGUUAAGUCAGGGGUGAAAUCCUGGAGCUCAACUCCAGAACUGCCUUUGAUACUGAAGAUCUUGAGUUCGGGAGAGGUGAGUGGAACUGCGAGUGUAGAGGUGAAAUUCGUAGAUAUUCGCAAGAACACCAGUGGCGAAGGCGGCUCACUGGCCCGAUACUGACGCUGAGGCACGAAAGCGUGGGGAGCAAACAGG